CAAUAGCGUAUAUUUAAGUUGUUGCAGUUAAAAAGCUCGUAGUUGGAUUUCGGAUGGGAUUUGCCGGUCCGUCGUUACGAUGUGCACUGGCCAGUCCUAUCUUGUUGUCGGGGACUAGCUCCUUGGAUUCACUUCCUGGGACUAGGAGCUGACGAGGUUACUUUGAGUAAAUUAGAGUGUUCAAAGCAAGCCUACGCUCUGAAUACAUUAGCAUGGAAUAACACGAUAGGACUCUGGCUUAUCUUGUUGGUCUGUGAGACCAGAGUAAUGAUUAAGAGGGACAGUCGGGGACAUUCGUAUUUCAUUGUCAGAGGUGAAAUUCUUGGAUUUAUGAAAGACGAACUUCUGCGAAAGCAUUUGUCAAGGAUGUUUUCGUUAA
rnacentral:rRNA from 1 species